rnacentral:rRNA from 1 species
AUUGAACGCUGGCGGCAUGCUUUACACAUGCAAGUCGAGCGGCAGCGCGGGGGCAACCCUGGCGGCGAGCGGCGAACGGGUGAGUAAUGCAUCGGAACGUAUCCUCGAGUGGGGGAUAACCCAGCGAAAGUUGGGCUAAUACCGCAUGAGCUCUGAGGAGGAAAGCGGGGGACCUGCGAGGGCCUCGCGCUGGAGGAGCGGCCGAUGUCCGAUUAGCUAGUUGGUGGGGUAAAGGCUUACCAAGGCGACGAUCGGUAGCUGGUCUGAGAGGAUGAUCAGCCACACUGGGACUGAGACACGGCCCAGACUCCUACGGGAGGCAGCAGUGGGGAAUUUUGGACAAUGGGGGCAACCCUGAUCCAGCCAUGCCGCGUGAGUGAAGAAGGCCUUCGGGUUGUAAAGCUCUUUCGGACGGAACGAAAUGGGCGGAACUAAUACUCCUGUCUGAUGACGGUACCGUAAGAAGAAGCACCGGCUAACUACGUG